UCUUCUGUGGGGCAGCCACGUCAGAAAAUAGGUCUCUCCCAGUGUGUCACGUGUCCACUUACCGAAAACACACCGUUUCAUUUAUUUAGGUUAUAAUUUCGUUUGGGCUUUUGAUUCUAUAUGGUUUCUGUGUAAAGAUUUCUAAAGCCCAGCCUGAAAAAGUAGGUCGACAUGCUCCAACCUUUAUCCUUCUCUUCCGGCGCGAUAUCGGCUCACACCCUAGGGCUUCAAUUGAGUUGUUCCAUCUUCUUCCUCCCACCCAGAAAUCUACCAGUUACACAUUCAUGCUCUUAAAGUCCUCUUUGAAUCCAUCAUCUACGAUUGCUUUUUUAAAAAAUCGGUUUGCAAAACAAUUUUCGCGUCGUGUCCGUGUCCGAGAUCAAGCUCAUGGCAACCACUGUGCCUACUUUGUUAAAGCUUUACUCCGUCGUUGAAAUCAAGCUCUCAUUCGCCUCCAUUGCUCAGCUCUUCUCUGUCAUGGUGUUAGAUCAAGUCAAGUUCUCUGAUCGCAACUCAUGACGCCAUUGCUAUUUAAGAUCACGGCGGACUCCACUUCGCCUCUGACUACUUCCUCUGCGUCGCUGUUUUCGGUCAUGAUUUCUUUAGAGAUAAGAUCAGGUGAUGUACGGAAUGUGAGGGAUGAAGAUGGCUGCAAGAGAAGAUCAAAUGCAAGGUUCAUCUGCGUCCAUUAAGUGUGAAAGAAAGGGUAAGGAAUGACGCAGAGAUUGGAAGUGUCUCAAUGAGGAAACGGUCAUAUACAUGAGCUAUCUUUUCGUUUUCGAUCUUCUAAUACUCCCCACUACAUCCACGUUUGUGUUUAGCCAUGUAUGCUGUACUAAGGAGGUGUUUCAUCGAGGGGGGGGGGGGGGGGGGGGGGAAUGAAGUUGCUCUCUCUGUUGUUAGUGGAGUUCACUGUAAAGUAUGUUCCUGAAUCGAGAAAGCUGAAAAGGAUUUAAAACAAAAGUUAUAGGAAUCUUACUGCUGGAGGUCGCUGACAUUCGCAUGACCAUCUCUUUUCAACAAAACCUUGAGAACGAUCCAAAAAAGAAGAAAGGAUCAAAUUCUGAGAUUUUGUUCCCCUCUGCUCAGACUACUGCAACAUUUUCAAAUUAGUAGGUUACACCGCUACGAAAAUUGCAAAACCAACAAUCAAAGAACUCAUGUUUUGCAUGGCUUUGUUAGGUUUUUUUGUGAGGAACUCAAUCAAAGAACCACUAAUUAGGUUCCUUUGUUGGGAAAGACUACAAUAUCUGCAGUGAUCUGUUGUCUCGGCUUAAGGUUUUUCUGACGAAAUUCAUAAAGUCUGUCUCCAUUGUUUGAGAAUACACCAAAUACUGCUCAGGAGCUCACUCUUGCAGUAAUGUACUUGGAGCUGAAGACAAUGGCCCUGCUAAAAAAAAUGACACUCCCUCAUAAGGAAAACUCUUAACAGCCUCCCUGAGACAAAGGGUGCCGAAAUUGAUGCUAAUUUUCUCUGGAUCUUCGAGUCAGAAGAACGCGAGUUUCUUCAACAUACGGUCUUUCCAGCCCAUGAGCGUAUGGAGAAUGGUUGACCACGACCCUUUAGUUCUGCACCCAUGGUUUGACCAUCGUUUGAGCGUCCAUGGUCACGUGUUCUUCAGUCAUAGACCAAGUGACUUCUACCAGAGCUUCAGGUUUUGCUAGGAACCUUCUGGAAAAGGUGUUACAGUGUUAUUAUGGGGACGAAGACAAUGAAGCUAUGAUAUUGAGAGUUCUAAGCUGCAAAACAGUUCUUAGCAAAGCUUAAGAAGGCUUCGGUAUUGAGUUCCAUUUUGAUGAGCAAACAAGUCUAACGAUAUCAGAAGAUAGCUAAUGCUACUUGAAAACACAGGUGGUGAAUAUCAUAGAAGUUUAUCACGUUGUCACAGUUUAAAAAAUGUGAUUUCCCCAUUUUCUCAUUCACAAAUCAUAAUUGUACGGCUGCUUCAUGCCUUUUAGUUACACUAUAUAUGUAUUAGUAUCUAACAGAGUGCUUAAUCUAUUGAAAACUAGAACUAAACUUUUGAUUUUCUAUCGUUUUAAAAUAUCUUAAUCUAUUUUUUUUCAAACAA